ensembl:rRNA 5S_rRNA 5S ribosomal RNA
UACCACAGCCAUAUCACCCUGCAGCCCAAGACUGGUUGCCUACUGAAGCCAAGCAGGGCUGAGCCUGGUCAGUACCUGGAUGGGAGACCUCUUGGGAAAACUAGGUUGCUGCUGGAA